rnacentral:rRNA from 1 species
MCCUGAUSCAGCAAUGCCGCGUGUGUGAAGAAGGCCUGCGGGUUGUAAAGCACUUUCAGUAGAGAAGAAAAGCCUAGGGUUAAUACCCGUGAGUCUUGACGUAACCUACAGAAGAAGCUCCGGCUAAYUCCGUGCCAGCAGCCGCGGUAAUACGGAGGGGGCGAGCGUUAAUCGGAAUUACUGGGCGUAAAGCGCGCGUAGGCGGCUUUGUAAGUCGGAUGUGAAAACCCCCGGGCUUAACCUGGGAAUUGCAUUCGAUACUGCAGAGCUAGAGUAUGGUAGAGGGAAGUGGAAUUUCSGGUGUAGCGGUGAAAUGCGUAAAUAUCCGAAGGAACACCAGUGGSGAAAGCGACUUCCUGGGCCAAUACUGACGCUGAGGUGCAAAAGCGUGGGGASCAAACAGGAUUAAAUACCCUGGUAGUCCACGCCGUAAACGAUGAGAAUUAGAUGUCGGGGGAAUUUGCCCUUCGGUGUCGCAGCUAACGCGUUAAGUUCUCCGCCUGGG